UUCCGAAGAGCAGAGCUUUCUAGACUAGGUCACUGUGCUAUUCUCCUCAUGAUACAGGUUAACACAAGAGUUGAAUAUAGACUCUCAUUAGAAAAUAUGUAACAUUUCAAAUGCUACAAUUAAACACAGUACAAAUCUGUUCAAAAGGCCAGGAGAUGAUUAACUUUCUCUCUCACUUAUUCUCAAGCUGGAUGCAAAUCAGCGUCUUCCAAGACGAGGCAAGUGAAUAUCCCAGUAAAUUGGCAAUACAAUUUAGAUGGCAGGCAAGGAUCUCAAAGAUAAAUGACUUAAACAAAGAAGGGAAAGAUGAACCUGUCACUUCUUCUCAACUCAUCAAGCUGUCUCGCAGAGAAAGUUGAUGAUCCUGGAGCAGAAAUGUUUCUGCCAUCCCCUGAAGGUGAAGGCUCACCCGGCAAUUCUUCAAUCUGCACGUGAGGCUCCUCAACACUCUUCCACGCCAGGCAAAGCUACGGGACUUCCCUCUUCCAUCCACGUUUUUUUUAAAAGGCCCAAAUUUGGGGUUACAAAGUAAACUAACACAAUUUGUCAGUGGAAUGAAAGAAAGACCUAAGAUAAGUGCAGAUAAACAUGGUGGUAUCAAAGGAAUACGAUAAACUAUGAAGACAGAAUACAGAAAAAGUGACUGGCAAAGGAUUUUAAAACAUACAAAGAGAAAAAGGUACCACCAACAACAUGAUAGCGUGCCAGACUGAUUAUGCCAAAUUAUUCCAGCUAAAGAAACUACACAAAAUUUUAAAGAAAAAUGGAUUAUGCUAAAUUAUUCCAGCUAAAGAAACUAUACAAAAUUUUAAAGAAAAAUAGAUUAUGCUAAAUUAUUCCAGGUAAGAAACUACACAAAAUUAUAAAGAAAAAAAGAUGAGAAGAUCAAGAUAAAUGAGGAACAGGAGACGCAAGAGUUCUAAAGAAGGGAAAAUGUAAGACGUAAAGGCCAAAAGUCGAUUUUGAAAUCAGGAACCUUGAGACAGAUCCAGUUAAGUGCAAUAAUUGGUUUUCUUUUUAAAAAAUUAACACAGUUUGAUUAAUAUAGGCUUAACAACUUAUCAGGUCUAAUUUGCUUCCUAUUUUUAGAUAUGAACACCAACAGAAGAAGGAGUUUAGAAACUUCUGUAAUCUUUCCAUUUCUCACAGGCACACUCUCCUUCGGAUAGCUUCUCACUUUUAAGAAAAAUGGAUGUAUCUACCACAACUGAAGCUGUUUUCCUAUUUCCAGAAAUAAUUAUCCUUACAACAAUCUACAUAAAAAAGACAUUUUCUUCUUAAAGUGGGGGAGAGAAGAUGUCUUGGUUGGAACCUGAGAGAAUUAUUCGUCUCCUCCCUGCUCUGUUAAUAAUGAGCCAGCAGCGGUGGCCCUGUGCACGGGAAGAAGUGACAGUGACACACAGGUUGAAUUAUACAAUGUAUUGUGAUGCAAUUAGGAAGAAGGAUGAGAUGACAAAACAGAUUUCCACUUGGUCUUCAACAGGGCUUUGUGCAUUAAGUCAUUGUAAUACUCUCCCCAGCACCCAUCCAUUAUUAUUACUUAACCAGCAUUACCUCCCAGAAACCUACCUUUUCUGAUACGUGAAGUUCCUCUGGGGAAGUUUUGCCCUUUGUGAUGUUAUAGUAACAUUACCCACAAACUUAGGAGAUGCAUGAUGAAUUUGAGGGUCCACAUAAACAUUUUUAAAACGAUCUAAAUUCUAUAUGAUUAACAUAUAAACCAGGUAAAUUUUUUUUGCAUAGGCCAUGGCUACUGAAGAGUUAAGUAUAUAGCAGAGAGAAACUUUUCAUGGUUUUUUUUUUUUUUUUUUGCUUUAAUAAGAAAUUAAGUUUAUCAAUUGCCAUUGUAAUCGCUCACAGCACCUCAGGUAAUUAAAAGGGAUCUAAACCUAAUUUUAUUUACAUUUAGAAUACCUGAGGCCAUCUCCGAUCAAGAUUUCACAUUUGUGACUAAUAAUGUUAAGUGUUAAUUAGAGUUCAGCAGAGAAUACUGAUUGAUUUUGAAUCUGUAAUCUGCUGUGAUUUAGGAAUAGUGAGGAAGUCAAAGUAUUCUUUUCUGUUACCGCAGUUUCUAUGCAUUAGUGAAAUUCUUCAAAGAAUCAUGUAUGCCUUUUAAUUCUGGCAGGAUUCAUUUUUGUAAAAAUUGUGGCUCCUCAUUAUACUGUACACUUCUACUUGUGAGAAAGCACAUCACAUUAAAUUAGGUUUAUCUGGACCCAUCUUAAUGUACGAGACCUACAAUGACAUUUUUAAUGUAGUAACAAUUUUUUUGAUUUCCCCCUAUAUUUUAUUAACACAUUUUUUAAGCAUACAAAAAAAAUUUGAAAGCGAACACCUCCUUCCACUCCGGCUACAUUUUAUAAUUGUAACAUGUUGCUACAUACUUGCUUUAUUAUAUAUCUAUCCACCCAUCCAUCCGUCCGUCCAUCCGUCCGUCCGUCCGUCCAUUUCAUUUUCUGAUGCAAUUCAACUACGGUGCAGGCAUCAGUUCACUCCCACACAUUUCAACAUGCACGUGAUUAACUAUUAGGUUCUUUUUUUGAGAUUAAAUGUACAUACUGUGAAAUGCAAAACAUCUUAGUUGUACCGGUCCAUGAAUGUUGACAGAUGCCGUGUAACCCAAGCCACGAUGAAAAUAUCCCCCUGAGGAGUUCCUCUGGGCCACCCCCAACCCCAACCAAUCCCUCCUUCUCACUUCCUGGCAACCAUUCUUCCGAUUUCUUUCAUCACCAAUCAGUUUGCCCGUUGUAGAACUUCAUAUAAAUGGAAUCAUUCUUUUCUGUGCGUGCCUCUUUCCACAGAGCAUAAUGUUUUGUGGGUACGUCCAUAAAAACAAGUUUUCAAACCACAUCUCUGGCAUAACAAGAUACUAGAAUCCUGUGAUGACAGGGACGUCACAAGGUCUUUUUCUCUCCACAGUGACACACAGCAGUCCGUCCUCUGCUUCCUAACAGGACUCUAUGAGAACAUGGUGAUGUCCUACCACAAAGAAAGCAACACCUGAUUAUCAAUAACUUCUCUGGUCCGGCCAAGGAUGAGCAAGGAACAAAGAGCUUUUAGAACAUUAAGCAUACAUCUAAAUUUAUUUGACCUGAGGAUCCAGCCUGGCCUCUCAAGAGCAGACGCUCACAUGAUAAAACGUGCUGGGAACUCACCAUGUACUCAGCAAAGGGAAGCAAAGGGGUAUUAAUCAAUGUUUUGAUUAAUUACACGUACAUAGAAUUUAAGACAAAGUAAAGGCUCUUCCAUCCCCGCAAGUCCCCAGAGAAAAUUUAUAACAGCAAAGUAUCAUCAUUACUAAAUUAGAGCGUGACCAGGUAUGUACUGGGGUUAACACUUAACUCGGGGCGGGGUGGGAGGAAGGACUAUGACACUUCUCAGUGGCCGUGAAUUAUUAAGGCUUUAUCUCCUGGCAGACAGAGAAAUCUAGGCUGACAAUAACAGAGCAAAGUACAUUUAUUUUUCUUUUUUGUCUUUAAGAAAUAGGUUCAGAAGGUAGGAAAAUAAAUGUUGUUUAAAAAGCUUUCUAUGGUAACUCGUCCUGGAAAGGACGUCAUUACACCUAUGAUUUAAGAGGACAGCUUUUUAUGCUUCCGCUAAUACAACUCACUUUUGGCUGGCACAAAAUGAUCUCACAGGAAUUCUUUCAGUCAUCAGGGCACCAAACACAGGCUAUACCGAUGCAAACCUCCUUUCGUUGAGGGUGACACACCCCAUGACAAAAUCCUGUGCCAAAGAGUGUGCUACAGUCUGGGACAGGAAUCCCAAAUUGGUUACUGCUCAUCACUGGUUGGUUCCUGGACACCUGCAGGACCUGUGGGCUCUGUCCCCACUCACCUUCUCUGUUCCCCAGCUGGCUGCAGGCAGACAGGACAAUCUCCGAUGCCCCUUCUGUUCACCCAGUCCUUUUGCUUUGUCACUACUCCUGGAGCUUUCUCUCAAACUUUCCCAGAAUUUACAGGGGAAUCUCUUCCAUAAAAAAAAAUAAAUUUGGCUCUCAGAAGGGAGCUCCAGCUUUCCCCAAACUGACAUUUUGGCACCAGAGAGGGGUGGUGGCUUCGUUUUUGUAGCCUGGUGACAAGCACAGGAGGUGAAUGAAUGGGCGAGUGAAUGCAGGCGCCAAUCACUCAGAUCAACCCACCGCAGAGAUCUCGCUCAUCUGAAUUCUCUUUCACAAGAUAAAAAGGUUAGUAAUUACUUUAGGACUGCAUCUGUUUUCUAC
rnacentral:lncRNA from 1 species